GCCGGGCAUGUUGGCACGUGCCUGUAGUCCCAGCUACUUGGGAGGCUGAGGCAGGAGAAUCGUUUGAACCCAGGAGAGGCUGAGGUUGCAGGGAGCGGAGAUUGUACCACUGCACUCCAGCCUGGGCAACAGAGCGAGACUCCGUCUCAA
rnacentral:SRP_RNA from 2 species